rnacentral:rRNA from 1 species
AUACGGAGGGUCCAAGCGUUAUCCGGAAUCAUUGGGUUUAAAGGGUCCGCAGGCGGUCAAUUAAGUCAGAGGUGAAAGCCCAUCGCUCAACGCUGGAACUGCCUUUGAUACUGGUUGACUUGAGUUAUACGGAAGUAGAUAGAAUAAGUAGUGUAGCGGUGAAAUGCAUAGAUAUUACUUAGAAUACCGAUUGCGAAGGCAGUCUACUACGUAUAUACUGACGCUGAGGGACGAAAGCGUGGGGAGCGAACAGGAUUAGAAACCCCAGUAGUCC